AGAUUGCCAAAGCAGGAGAAGAAUAACAACACUUUGAUGUGAGAAAAUACUGAAGCAUGUCCCCCAUACAAAUGUCUGGUCAGAUAUUCUGUUGUUUAUUGUAUGGAAGAUAGGUGUCUCGUGGAUGACAGGAGACUGCAGACACUGCACGGAUAGCAUUGCUCUGAGCCAGAGCCAAAGUUUUCUAGCCAACUGUGAAGUUGCUGACAUAAGAACAAGGAAACAGCUCCGGACUGUACAACAAUGACAUCACAGACAGCUGGAACUCCCCACAGCUAUGGUCAAAGGAAGCGCUACACAAACCAUCUCACAAUAAAAUUUUCUGAUUCAUAAAAGCAUUGGCUGGUUCUCCUGGAUUGUGUUGUCCUCAUUGAGAAAACUUGGGGACUUUUUCUGAUGGACCUGACUCACCGAUCUGUAUAGAUAAAUACAAGUAUGGAUAUUUGUAAACUCAUUUUUAUUAGUACAAAGUUCUCUCCAUAUUGUUAUGAAUGAGCACUUUUGUGUCCUCAUACUUAAAGCUGGACAGCCAGAGGUCCAGAGGAGAAUGCCUCCUGUCCUCUGCUGCACAAGUGGAGACAUGUUCCAUUUUCCACAUGGACAUCAGUUCUAAGAUAUGUAAUCAAAAUAACACCAUAAUUGCUGCAAUUUGGGUAUCAGCAACUGGCAGCUGCCUUGGUGAUGCCAUGGGCAUGUCACAGGAGGCAGAACGCUUACAGUUCCCUGUGUCACACAGGUAUUGGUUACAUUGGCUUUAUAGGAAGACCACAGGAAGGGGAGCUGCCAUGUGCAUGCCCAGGGCAGAGGACAGAAGGAUGGUGUGCAGAGGCUGAGGUAAGAGGGCAGGAGAUAUCAUGGCAGGGUUGGAUGGUUAAAUCGCGCAGAUGAAAGGAGUGGUUGUGAUGCAACUGAUUUUGUGUCCUCCUUCUUUGCUUGGAGAGCCAGAGGCCCCAAGGAGAACGUGAUCAGAGCAUGGAACCUCCUGUCUUCUGCUGCACAGCUGGAGAGAUGUUCCAUUGUCGACAUGGACAUCAGAACCAAGAUAUGUAAUCAAAAUAACACCAGCAUUGCUGCAAUUUGGGUAUCAGCAAAUGGCAUCUGCCUUGGUGAUGCCAUGGGCAUGUCACAGGAGGCAGAAUGCUUACAGUUCCCUGUGUCACACAGGUAUUGGUGACAUGGGAUUUAUACAGAGAGCACAGAAAGAGCAGCUAGCAUGUGCCUGCCCAGGGCAGAGGACAGAAGGAUGGUUUGCAGGUGUUGAGGUCCAAAUGCCCAGAAGGGAGUGACCAUCUCCAUAAUAUUUGAAAAGUCGUCGCUGUCAGGAGGUCCUGGAUUACUGGAGUCCCAUUUACAAGAAAGGGAGCAAGGAGGACCCCGGGAACUACAGGCUGCCACAGGCCCCUUCUGCCCACACCCUCUUCAGCCACUCUGACUGAGAUUUCUGCAGCCAUCUGUGAAGGCAUGAACCUAAGGACAAGGUAACACAGACCCAGACUGUACCUCACCAUGGCCUCACGGACAGAUGGAAACUCCCCACAGUUCUGGACAAGUGAAUAUCUACACCACCUGCUUUCUCAGAAUAAAAUCUUCUCAUUCAUAAAUGCA